AUUCUAUGGACAAGGAACUCGGCGGGCAACAAACAACGAACUUCUUUCACUCAAUAAUAAGAAAGGGGCCAACAAAGGUGCUGCAUUCCAGUUUGCUAAUACAAAACUGAGUACUGUGGAGAGGGCAAAGGCUGAGAAGGGCAACAAGAGGUGGCUGCACAAGAACAAGCUCAUCAGCACAUGAAUAUGGCAGGAGGACAAGACCAAACCCAGAGGAGCAGGAAAAGCACCAAAUUUGGGAUUGGGGUCUACUCACAGACCUCUAGGGGAGGACUCAGGCCUGACAUAUCUUGGCUGACUUUCCAGUUGCUGGAUAGAAUUUUCAGCUUUUCAACUGUACAUCUUUGUCUUCUUUGAGGACUUGGUUGUGCCUCAUAAAUAAUAGAGCUUGUUAAAAUGAUUGAGUCUGUUGUUGACACUUCAUUUCUGAAAUCACGAUGAAUGCAAAUGCCUUUGAUCCAGUCAAUGACAAAACAGUUUCUGAUAAUAAAAAAUAAAAAACUUGA